GGGAUUGUGGCUCAAGGGCAGAGCACUUGCCUCCCAUGUAUGAGGCACUGGGUUCGAUUCUCAGCACUACCU
rnacentral:tRNA from 1 species